rnacentral:rRNA from 1 species
CCUACGGGUGGCAGCAGUGGGGAAUUUUCCGCAAUGGGCGAAAGCCUGACGGAGCAAUCUCGCGUGAGGGAUGACUGCCUAUGGGUUGUAAACCUCUUUUUUCAGGGAGGAAUAAAUGACGUGUACCUGAAGAAUAAGCAUCGGCUAACUCCGUGCCAGCAGCCGCGGUAAUACGGAGGAUGCAAGUGUUAUCCGGAAUCACUGGGCGUAAAGCGUCUGUAGGUGGUUUAAUAAGUCAACUGUUAAAUCUUGAGGCUCAACUUCAAAAUCGCAGUCGAAACUAUUAGACUAGAGUAUAGUAGGGGUAAAGGGAAUUUCCAGUGGAGCGGUGAAAUGCGUAGAGAUUGGAAAGAACACCGAUGGCGAAGGCACUUUACUGGGCUAUUACUGACACUCAGAGACGAAAGCUAGGGUAGCAAAUGGGAUUAGAUACCCUUGUAGUC